UACGUAGGGUGCGAGCGUUAAUCGGAAUUACUGGGCGUAAAGCGUGCGCAGGCGGUUCGUUAAGUUCGAUGUGAAAGCCCCGGGCUCAACCUGGGAACUGCAUUGGAAACUGGCGAGCUUGAGUAUGGCAGAGGGGGGUGGAAUUCCGCGUGUAGCAGUGAAAUGCGUAGAGAUGCGGAGGAACACCGAUGGCGAAGGCAGCCCCCCUGGGCUAGCACUGACGCUCAGGCACGAAAGCGUGGGGAGCAAACAGG
rnacentral:rRNA from 1 species